rnacentral:lncRNA from 1 species
GUAUAUAUAUUCAGACGGUUAUUGCAUGUUAUCCUAACUUCCAAAUCUUUUCCAGUCGCGAAACGCAAGAAGACGAGCUCCCAAACUGCCUCUGCCAGCCCGGUGCUCCUUCUGAACGAGUUGGAUAUCGGCUGCGUAGUUGACGUGCCCCAAUGCGAUCAACCAAGCGACGUUGUUUCCCAGGAGCCCACCCAGCUGACCUUCGGUGCACCGGCUUCGCCUCGCACGGAAACGGAAGGUGCCGACCACUCGUACUCCAUGGGG